rnacentral:rRNA from 1 species
GACGAACGCCGGCGGCGUGCUUAACACAUGCAAGUCGAACGAUGAACCAGGAGCUUGCUCUUGGGAAUUAGUGGCGAACGGGUGAGUAACACGUGAGUAACCUGCCCUUGACUCUGGGAUAACCUCCGGAAACGGAAGCUAAUACCGGAUACGACGUACGGAGGCAUCUCCUGUACGUGGAAAGAACUUCGGUCAAGGAUGGACUCGCGGCCUAUCAGGUAGUUGGUGAGGUAACGGCUCACCAAGCCUACGACGGGUAGCCGGCCUGAGAGGGUGACCGGCCACACUGGGACUGAGACACGGCCCAGACUCCUACGGGAGGCAGCAGUGGGGAAUAUUGCACAAUGGGCGCAAGCCUGAUGCAGCAACGCCGCGUGAGGGAUGACGGCCUUCGGGUUGUAAACCUCUUUUAGUAGGGAAGAAGCGAAAGUGACGGUACCUGCAGAAAAAGCACCGGCUAACUACGUGCCAGCAGCCGCGGUAAUACGUAGGGUGCGAGCGUUGUCCGGAAUUAUUGGGCGUAAAGAGCUCGUAGGCGGUCUGUCGCGUCUGCUGUGAAAACCCGAGGCUCAACCUCGGGCCUGCAGUGGGUACGGGCAGACUAGAGUGCGGUAGGGGAGAAUGGAAUUCCUGGUGUAGCGGUGGAAUGCGCAGAUAUCAGGAGGAACACCGAUGGCGAAGGCAGUUCUCUGGGCCGUAACUGACGCUGAGGACCGAAAUCGUGGGGAGCGAACCGGAUUA